rnacentral:rRNA from 1 species
CCUACGGGAGGCAGCAGUGGGGAAUUUUGGACAAUGGGCGAAAGCCUGAUCCAGCAAUGCCGCGUGUGGGAAGAAGGCCUUCGGGUUGUAAACCACUUUUGUACGGAACGAAACGGCUCGCUUUAAUACAGUGGGCUAAUGACGGUACCGUAAGAAUAAGCACCGGCUAACUACGUGCCAGCAGCCGCGGUAAUACGUAGGGUGCGAGCGUUAAUCGGAAUUACUGGGCGUAAAGCGUGCGCAGGCGGUUAUAUAAGACAGUUGUGAAAUCCCCGGGCUCAACCUGGGAAUUGCAUCUGUGACUGUAUAGCUAGAGUACGGUAGAGGGGGAUGGAAUUCCGCGUGUAGCAGUGAAAUGCGUAGAUAUGCGGAGGAACACCGAUGGCGAAGGCAAUCCCCUGGACCUGUACUGACGCUCAUGCACGAAAGCGUGGGGAGCAAACAGGAUUAGAUACCCUGGUAGUCCACGCCCUAAACGAUGUCAACUGGUUGUUGGGUGCAUUAGUACUCAGUAACGAAGCUAACGCGUGAAAGUUGACCGCCUGGGGAGUACGGCCGCAAGGUUGAAACUCAAAUGAAUUGA